UGGCCUCAGGUGUAUGUUGAUCAAAAAAGUUUGAAAACCACUGCUGUAGACUCUACACAGGAAAAUCUGGGGAGUAACUUUUCCAGAGUCAAAAAAUCUUUUACUCAAAAUAGUAAAAUUUACUCUUUUUUGAGUGCAUUUAUUACCAGCCACUGCAUUGGAGUAAAGUCGCAGAGUAAAUUCUGCUGGAGUAAAACUUCAACCACACCCACCCAGCUCAGCUGGCGUCACUCAUGGACAGUCACGGCUGAAGCAUGUUAGGUGUCUCAGCUGAAGCUAAUCCUUCGCAAUCAAGACCUCCUCACCUGGUGAUGAACCUUCAGACACCUGUGGACUACAGCUUCUAAUCAGCUUCAGCUGCUCUCCAGCUCGGUGUCGUAUCCUGAAGGUUCUCACGGCCUCCAGCAGGGCGAGCGCCAUCCGAGCAAUCUCUCUGCCAUGCAGCUUCCCGUUCCUGACAGGGAGCCCUGAAACCACCAUGUAGGCAUCACCGAUGGUCUCCACCUGGGGGCGCCAGAGGACCACAAACCACAGAUCACUCUUCACAGAGUGUUUAAUGACUUAAUCUUUGCCCUUCUUUAACACUUUCAUGUUUCUACCUCAGCUCCACAUUGCUGCUGCUGCCGCUGUAACAUCUUACUUUCUAGCUCCUGAUUUAAUUCAGUCUUUUAUUUUCCAUAUUUUGUUUUCACUUGAUUUGUGGUUGGGGGAUCACUUCUUGUUUUAUUGAUGUUGAUUUACAUGUUAAGUACUUUGUGCUACAACUAUUGGAUGAAAAGUUCUGUAGAAAUAAUAAAUAAUCAAGUUUUCUUA